ACUGAGGGUAGCGGAGAAAUUCCAAUCGAACCUGGAGAUAGCUGGUUCUCUCCGAAAUAGCUUUAGGGCUAGCCUCAAGUGAUGAUUAUUGGAGGUAGAGCACUGUUUGGACGAGGGGCCCCUCUCGGGUUACCGAAUUCAGACAAACUCCGAAUGCCAAUUAAUUUAACUUGGGAGUCAGAACAUGGGUGAUAAGGUCCGUGUUCGAAAGGGAAACAGCCCAGACCACCAGCUAAGGUCCCAAAAUAUAUGUUAAGUGGAAAAGGAUGUGGCGUUGCCCAGACAACUAGGAUGUUGGCUUAGAAGCAGCCAUCAUUUAAAGAGUGCGUAAUAGCUCACUAGUCGAGUGACACUGCGCCGAAAAUGUACCGGGGCUAAACAUAUUACCGAAGCUGUGGAUUGUCCUUUGGACAAUGGUAGGAGAGCGUUCUAAGGGCGUUGAAGCAUGAUCGUAAGGACAUGUGGAGCGCUUAGAAGUGAGAAUGCCGGUGUGAGUAGCGAAAGACGGGUGA
rnacentral:rRNA from 1 species